rnacentral:rRNA from 1 species
GGCCAGCAGCCGCGGUAAUACGGAGGGUGCAAACGUUGCUCGGAAUCAUUGGGCGUAAAGCGCGCGUAGGCGGUCCGGUUAGUCGGGUGUGAAAGCCCUAGGCUUAACCUAGGAAGUGCAUCCGAAACUGCCGGGCUAGAGUACCGGAGAGGGCGACGGAAUUCCCGGUGUAGAGGUGAAAUUCGUAGAUAUCGGGAGGAACACCAGCGGCGAAGGCGGUCGCCUGGACGGAUACUGACGCUGAGGCGCGAAAGCGUGGGGAGCAAACAGGAUUAGAUACCCUGGUAGUCCACGCCGUAAACGAUGGGUGCUAGUCGUCGCGGGUAUUGACCCCCGCGGUAACGUAGCUAACGCGUUAAGCACCCCGCCUGGGGAGUACGGCCGCAAGGCUAAAACUUAAAGGAAUUGGCGGGGGA